UGGUUAAAAAGCUCGUAGUUGGAUCUCAACAGCCUUGAAGCGGUUAACUUUGUAGUUUUACUGCUUUAUAGGCUGUGCUUUUGCUGGAGGUUUAGGGGUGCUCUUGAUCGAGUGUCUCUGGAUGCCAGCAGGUUUACUUUGAAAAAAUUAGAGUGCUCAAAGCAGGCUAAAAUGCCUGAAUAUUCGUGCAUGGAAUAAUAGAAUAGGAUGUCGAUCCUAUUUUGUUGGUUUUCGGGACUCGACAUAAUGAUAAAUAGGGACAGUCGGGGGCAUUUGUAUUCAAACGACAGAGGUGAAAUUCUUGGACCGUUUGAAGACAAACUACUGCGAAAGCAUUUGCCAAGAAUGUUUUCAUUAAUCAAGAACGAAAGUUAGAGGUUCGAAGGCGAUUAGAUACCGCCCUAGUUCUAACCAUAAACGAUGCCAGCUAGCGAUCUGCCCGCGUUUUUACUGUAGACUGGGCAGGAAGCUUCCGGGAAACCAAAGCAUUUGGGUUCCAGGGGAAGUAUGGUUGCAAAGCUGAAACUUAAAGGAAUUGACGGAAGGGCACCACCAGGAGUGGAGCCUGUGGCUUAAUUUGACUCAACACGGGAAAUCUCACCAGGCCCGGACACUGGAAGGAUUG
rnacentral:rRNA from 1 species